rnacentral:lncRNA from 1 species
UAGUUUAAACAAUAUUUAUUCAGAUAAAUCAACAUUAAACAUAUUAUACAAUGAAAUAAUAUUAAGGAUUCAGAAACAAGCAAUUUGCUUUUACAAAUCUGUCUCCCUUUACAGACAUAAUACACUUAUUGAACAAUACAUAAAUAUAAAUACUGGCAUGCUCUGUAAUAAAUAUAUGAAUAUGAAAAAGGUGAAAAAGGAAGAAAAAAAAAUUCAUGAGAAAAAUAAAAUAAAAAUAAUAAUAAAUAAACGGGAAUUAUUGUAAUGUAUACAGUGUGAAAUGCUUGGGUUCCUAUUGAGUGAUGAGGCAUUAACAUCAAGGGUUAAAACGUUUACUUUUAAUAAUAUAUUUUUGCACCAAACUGAAUAAAAUACUAUUUUGCUCAUCUGAGAGUACCGUUGAUCCAAAAAGCAAAGUUUUUGUGUUUACUUG